rnacentral:rRNA from 1 species
UACGGGGGGGGCAAGCGUUGUUCGGAAUUACUGGGCGUAAAGGGCUCGUAGGCGGCCAACUAAGUCAGACGUGAAAUCCCUCGGCUUAACCGGGGAACUGCGUCUGAUACUGGAUGGCUUGAGUUUGGGAGAGGGAUGCGGAAUUCCAGGUGUAGCGGUGAAAUGCGUAGAUAUCUGGAGGAACACCGGUGGCGAAGGCGGCAUCCUGGACCAACACUGACGCUGAGUGAGCGAAAGCAUGGGGAGCGAACAGG